rnacentral:rRNA from 1 species
UUUGACGCUGGCGGCAGGCCUAUCACAUGCAAGUCGAGCGGAUGAAGGGAGCUUGCUCCUGGAUUCAGCGGCGGACGGGUGAGUAAUGCCUAGGAAUCUGCCUGGUAGUGGGGGAUAACGUCCGGAAACGGGCGCUAAUACCGCAUACGUCCUGAGGGAGAAAGUGGGGGAUCUUCGGACCUCACGCUAUCAGAUGAGCCUAGGUCGGAUUAGCUAGUUGGUGGGGUAAAGGCCUACCAAGGCGACGAUCCGUAACUGGUCUGAGAGGAUGAUCAGUCACACUGGAACUGAGACACGGUCCAGACUCCUACGGGAGGCAGCAGUGGGGAAUAUUGGACAAUGGGCGAAAGCCUGAUCCAGCCAUGCCGCGUGUGUGAAGAAGGUCUUCGGAUUGUAAAGCACUUUAAGUUGGGAGGAAGGGCAGUAAGUUAAUACCUUGCUGUUUUGACGUUACCAACAGAAUAAGCACCGGCUAACUUCGUGCCAGCAGCCGCGGUAAUACGAAGGG